UGGGAACGUGCCCAAAGGUACGGAACAACUCCGGGAAACUGGAGCUAAUACCGUAUGUGCCCGAAAGGGGAAAGAUUCAUCGCCUUUGGAUCGGCCCGCGUCUGAUUAGCUAGUUGGCGGGGUAAUGGCCCACCAAGGCGACGAUCAGUAGCUGGUCUGAGAGGAUGACCGGCCACACUGGGACUGAGACACGGUCCAGACUCCUACGGGAGGCAG
rnacentral:rRNA from 1 species